GAUAUUAUUUCAGUUUUUCAUCAACUUUUUGUGAUGGAAUAUAGGAUAUGCAUUAAUUGCACUAUGACUGCUACACUCAAGCUAUUCGUAUUUCUACCUAUUUAACAUUUGGCUUGAAGUUGAUUAUUUAAAUGAAAAAUGAGUGAAUUUAAUAUCGAAUAUACUGUCACAAUAUAUUCUAUUUUUACUUUCAUUGAUUAGAACUCAACUAUUAUCAAAUGAAAUCAGUGCAGAUAAUUAGACAUUCAAGAUUUUGAGCUGGGAGAUUAGAAUGCAUUGAAGGAAUUGUUUGCCAAACACAUUGGGAAACUUUGAUGAAGGAGCUUGCUUUCACAUAACUCAGGAGAAAAAGACCUGUUCAAACACAGAUUAUCCUUGCAAGUACAAAAAAAAAAAAUGAAAACAAUUGUGUAGAACUAAUGUUAAUGAACCAUUUUUUUUGGACAAACAGAAAAUGUUGAUUCUUAUGUUAAUGAUAGGAUUAGAACCAUGUAAAGAGGAUGCAAGUAUUGGUGGCUCUUCAUUGCUGCUGGUUCCUCUAGUCCCUCAUUUGGCUUUGGGGACCUAUAGAAUAGAGACAAAGAUGAUGCAAGAAAUUGUAUGUAUAUAAAUUUUGAACUUAUCAAAAGGAGAAGGAACAACAACUCAUGAAGGAAAAACAAUCAAAAUUUCUCUUACCAAGCAGAAUAUGAUGUAUUUAGCACCUGAAGAUAGUGUGAAGGAUUCAGCAAUGUGGCAAAUGAAACUGUCGUUCAGCUUUUUUGUCUCUCUUUUUUACUUUAUUUUCUCUUUUUUUACUUUCUCCAACCUUUCUCU
rnacentral:lncRNA from 1 species